AGGUAACUGAACUGCCUCUGGGGAAGCAUUGUUCCAAUUCGGAGCAGUUUCAAGCAGUUUCCGGGUGAAUAAUGAGAUCAGAGCUGUAAGAGCCCACCAGGUUCUCCAGCCUGAUUCUGCCGAGGAAACUGAAGAGCAGAUAAGUAAAUUUAUGUGCCCAAGGUCACUUAGCUAGUUCGCGUUUCCAACUGGAACUCACUUGGGACAUCCCGCAUCCAUGCGGACAGUCCUCACCUUCGGUCUGCCGUUCCUGCUGGGUAUGGAAGCCCUGCUCCCCAGGAGAUUUAGAACAUUCUUCCCAGGAUGGCACAGCAUCUCCAGAUACUCCCGCCCCAGGAAACCAUCCGCCUGCUGCAGCAACUGCCUGCCUGUGUCCUCAGGGCUACACUCCCUGGGACAGGGGUGCUCCCCCACAGCGCUGGAGCUGUUCCUGCCACAGCAGCCCCGACCCAGCUGGCAGAGGCCCAUCUGCUCCGAGACCGGCCUCCCUGCCUCCUUCCAGCACCACAUGGCGGCUGGACAGUGAGGGCCUCGCUCCCCUCCCGUGGAAAGACCGAGCACAGCAGAAGACCUUGAACCGACAAGAAAUGCUCCAUCCCUGUUUACCGAUGGCGACUAUCUGCCGGCCGGCAAGCCACCGUGAUUUUCAUCAGGGCGGCCGGAUUUAGGAAAUACAAAUACAGGACGCCCGGUUGCGUUUGCCUUUCAGACAUCUGAAUCCUGACCCAGAAGUGAAUGUACAAACUGCCAUCUUGUUAUUUUCCAACGAAAAUACAGGGAUAGUUUCCAUGCAGCCACCAGGCGGUAUCACUGUCCUGUAAAACCUCCCAGCUCAGCCCCCACUUGGCCCACAGCACCCCCGUGCCACCUUCCCUGCCUGCCUCCCCCACAAGCCGACUACCUGCCACUCUCAUUUCACCUCUUCAGCUACACUGGCUUUUCUCUCCGAUCCCAGAACACGCCCAGUGUGGCCCCAUUGCAAGGCCUUCUUGUUUGCCGUUUCCUGGGCACGGAGUGUUCUGUCUGUGGUUCUUGCCAUGGUUGCUCAUUGUAAUAAAGGUCUCAGCUCAUAGCUCACCCUCGCAGCUGGGCUUUCCCAUCUCAUCCUGUCUGAGGUAGCAUACCCCAUACAAAGCAUUCUUUAUCACAUUUUACCGUCGUCUUCAUACUUCCUAGAAUUAUCUGCCAAAUUAUCAUUUCAGUGUCUGUCUUCCAAUAAGGGCAAAAAUCUUGUCUUGGUCACGAUAGCAUCCCUUGGCCAAGGACAGUACUUGGCACAAAAUAGGUGCUCGACAAACAUUUGUCGAUUGAACAAAUAAAUUCCAACUCCCGAGAGCUGCGCUUACGUUAGAAAGGACACGCAUAAUCACGAUGGGAACCAGGCCCCAGACUUUUCACUUUCAGAAAUGCCCAAAGGAAAAUGCAGCCAAUUUCCGCUAAUAACAACCGUGUAUGAU